UACGAAGGGGGCUAGCGUUGCUCGGAAUCACUGGGCGUAAAGCGCACGUAGGCGGCUUCUUAAGUCAGGGGUGAAAUCCUGGAGCUCAACUCCAGAACUGCCUUUGAUACUGAGGAUCUUGAGUUCGGGAGAGGUGAGUGGAACUGCGAGUGUAGAGGUGAAAUUCGUAGAUAUUCGCAAGAACACCAGUGGCGAAGGCGGCUCACUGGCCCGAUACUGACGCUGAGGCACGAAAGCGUGGGGAGCGAACAGG
rnacentral:rRNA from 1 species